CCUACGGGAGGCAGCAGUGAGGAAUAUUGGUCAAUGGUCGGGAGACUGAACCAGCCAAGCCGCGUGAGGGAUGAAGGUACAGAGUAUCGUAAACCCCUUUUGUCAGGGAACAAAGGCGGGGACGUGUCCCCGGAUGAGUGUACCUGAAGAAAAAGCAUCGGCAAACUCCGUGCCAGCAGCCGCGGUAAUACGGAGGAUGCGAGCGUUACCCGGAUUUAUGGGGUUUAAGGGGUGCGCAGGCGGUCUGUUAAGUCAGCGGUCAAAGCCCGGGGCUCAACCCCGGCCCGCCGUUGAAACGGGCAGUCUCGAGUUGGAGAGAGGUAGGCGGAAUGCGCGGUGUAGCGGUGAAAUGCAUAGAUAUCGCGCAGAACUCCGAUUGCGAAGGCAGCAUGCCGGCUCCACACUGACGCUGAGGCACGAAAGCGUGGGUAUCGAACAGGAUUAGAUACCCGAGUAGUC
rnacentral:rRNA from 1 species